GUACGGGAGGCAGCAGUGGGGAAUAUUGGACAAUGGGGGCAACCCUGAUCCAGCCAUGCCGCGUGAGUGAUGAAGGUCUUAGGAUUGUAAAGCUCUUUCGGCGGGGAAGAUGAUGACGGUACCCGCAGAAGAAGCCCCGGCUAACUUCGUGCCAGCAGCCGCGGUAAUACGAAGGGGGCUAGCGUUGUUCGGAAUUACUGGGCGUAAAGGGCGUGUAGGCGGCUUGCAAAGUCGGGCGUGAAAGCCCCGGGCUCAACCCGGGAAUUGCGUUCGAUACUGGCGAGCUAGAGUUCGGGAGAGGGUCGUGGAAUUCCCAGUGUAGAGGUGAAAUUCGUAGAUAUUGGGAAGAACACCAGUGGCGAAGGCGGCGACCUGGACCGAUACUGACGCUAAGGCGCGAAAGCGUGGGGAGCAAACAGGAUUAGAUACCCCGGU
rnacentral:rRNA from 1 species